GCAGGCUAGAUGUUGGCUGCUGAUAAUGAGCACUGUUGGAUCUAAUAGAGGCAAAGCCAAUUUAGACUCACUCAGUGGCCGUCUGAUAUUACCACUUCAACCAGAUUGAUGAGAAUGUAGAGUUGCUGGUGUAUCAGCAUUUAAAGAUGUCGGGCUCCGAAGUCUAGACUGGCUUUAAAGAAAAACACUUUUGAGAGAGAAAUUGACAAACAGGACAUUUAAUUCAAGUGCAGCUUCGACAAGACUACAGAAGCAUAGUAAUUGCAACAAGGCUCUUCUGUGUGACAUCAAUCAGAACACAAGAGAGGAAAGAGAAAGAGGAGAACACCCCCGCAUCCAUCCAGGAGAAGCUGCAGGAAUCUGUCAGGACAAUUUCAGAAUGGGGUACACAAUGAAACGGUGUGGUGUCUCAGGCACAGUUAGACCUGAGCUGGGCUAUAUGUUUUCCAGCAAAUGACUUAUCUCCAAAACUAUUUAAAUGUGAAUCAUAUAGAUAUACAAAGCCUGAGAGGAAGUUCAUGCUGUGGGGAAGGAAAUAAAACAAUCUUUUUUUUUCACCCUCAGAUGUGACAAAAUCAAUGACCCCACAUACUGUAGCAAUUUCUAAUGAAAUGAAACACACACAUGGUUGUUUUUAAUCCUCUCUUGGUCUAAAUAUUGGCAUAAAGCACACUUUAGCUCCCUUUUCAGUAACUAUAACAACUCAAUUCCUAAUGCUAACCUUAACCCAGUUUUCAUGCUCAGAAAAUCAACUGGACUUGUGGGGUCCAUCAUUUUGGCCACCACAAUGGUGUCAGACUCCAUUAGUAAAGUGAGCUGCUAGAUUUCAGCCUCUACAAAUGCAGAAAAACAAAAUCACAUCACUUAUAGACACACAACUAAGCAGGUGAAGAGAUUUACAUCAUUAUUUUAUUUUUUUUUUUACCUUGCUUCCUGUUUCUUUUAAAUGAUUUGUUGUUGUGCUCUUGUUUCAGUUCUACUCCUGCCAGGUGUUCAGUUUUAUGCCAAUUUUUCCUCAACACCAGAGUUGUGCUUAUUCUGCCAGAUUACCUUCGGACUUAUGCAUAGAGUUGCUGACUACCUGCAUGAGCAUGACCACUAAAUUAAAUAAAGGUUUGGCCUUUUUCUGGAUUAUAUCUCUGCAUGUGCGUCAUUACUUUGAUGAACAUUCACACACACACACACACACACACACACACGUACACACACACACACACACACACACACACACACACACACACACACACACACACACACACACACACACACACACACACACACACACACACACACACACAGUACUUUUUGCAACUAGUACACAAGUUCUGCACAAAUAAAGAUGAAGAUACAACCAAAGGAGAUAAUCAAGACCCAACAGUGGACGCAAAUAUGUUCUCAUUAAACUUCAGCUGAAGUUUAUCAAAUAGCAUUUUUCUCCCCUUGGCAAAUCCAGUUAUGCUCUUGAUCUGUGGCAGCAAACUAGUGAUAAGUACUCGGCUCUUUCAUGAUAAAGACUCCAUUAGGGAGCUCUGAGCUUGAGGAGGGGGAAGAUGAUAACUCCAUGUUCCUAAACAACAGCCAGACUUUAUCUCUCAAUGCCUUCCUGUACAGGAUGUCCCAUUUGGCUCACAGGCAGUAUAACAUGGAAAGUGCCACAAAUUAGUACUUUUGAGUCAACACAGAGCAUUUAUAGUCUUUAUACUUAUAUUAGCUUAAUAAAUUUGUUUCAUUUUUAGUGUGUUUGGAGUUACUGGAGCAAUGGCUAUCUCAGUGUUAAAUCCCUAUAGUGGUUGUGACGACACACUGCUGGAGCUGUUCCUCUACCUAGCUGAAAAAACUGUCUGUUUUUAAGAAAAAACUCUGCAAUUUCUUUUUUGUAAAAGAAGACACAUCACCCUGCAGAUCACCCCAUGCAUAUCCAGCAUCUGAAUGCAAAAUUUGAGACCUAACACAUAUCCCAGCAGCACACCCACAUGCACACCACAAUGAAUACUAUCUUGUUUUCUGCACUGUGCCCAUACAGAAGCGUACAAAUAUUCAAAUGCAUUUGGCAUUUUCACCACGACUUUUAGAUGAAUUAUUCAGACCUAAUCUUCAGAGGGUGGCAUGAAUUGAACAUACAGUGCAUUGCUCAGAUGCUGGCCAUCUCUGUCUGCUCUGCUUUGUGUUAUGUUGAAUGAUAAACACAUGAAAAGUUAGCCUCUUUGACCUGCCUCUCAUUAACUUCUAAUAUGCGUGGAAUGUCUGAUCAAUAAAAAUCUGAGCAGCACCGUAAGGGGGAGGCAGGUUGACUAUAAUCAAAAAAGAUGACCCCCAGCCUUUCUCUUUUUCACUCAGUCUGUCUCUGUCUUUUCAUUAAUAAUAUCUAUAGCCCUUUAAGCCCUUCAUGAGUGUUGGUGGAGUGUCUUGAAGCUCUCUAAUCCCUGCAUUGCUCUUUAUUCUGCCCAUGACACUCAUCCCCUGUGUGUCACAUCCUGAAACCCUGUUAAUCCCCCGGUGGCAUUGCACAAGGGGCCCCAGCUGUCGAAUCCCUUGCUGCAGUGCUUCUUGCCCAUCUAAUUUGUGGCCCUGCUUGGAAUGCUAUUCAUGUCAUCCAGCCCCAUCCUGUCCAGUAACUUUUUAAAUUCUACCUCUCUUUCAAACAACUGCCUUUCUCUCUUGUAUUCUCACUUUGCCUGAUGAUGAAACUCCCGGCUGGCACCAACUGAAGCUUUUGUUCCCUCUGUUGUAUUAAGAGUCAAUGUCCUUUUCCUCUGUGCCUGCACAUUACAAAUCUGCCACAGCAACCUUCCUCCUUUUUACUGAAGGCUGAAUGGAUGUUCAGUAGAGCAGGUUGAGAUAAAUGCUGCACAGAGGGCAAUUUGGACUGAGCAGCUAAGAGCACACAGACUAAGCAUUUGAAUGAUGGCACAUUAAGAAUACUCAUGUUCAAUUAAGAGUGUGCAACAAUGCAUCAGUAUGCAGGGCAACUUUCCCCAAGUUAUUUUAAUGAGAGGAAGGAGGUAGGAAGGAGCAGAGAGGAAGGGGAAGGGUGGUAGGUAGAUGAUGUGAGGGAAUGAUUAGUAGAGUUUCUUUCUUUCUAACCUGUUUUGUGCAGUUCAGCGGAGCAGCGGAUUGCAGAGAGAUUUUAGACAUCCCUGCUCUUAGUUGGUUGGAGUAAUUGAACCGGCAAUACUAGCAACAAAAACAAAAAACAAAAACAAAAUAAAUGCAAAAGCAGUUUUCAAAACAACAACAACAAAAAAA